GGCGGCGGUGGUGGCAAGGGCGAUGUGGCCUGCCGGAGGCGGAGGCGGUGGAACAUAUGGGUGAGGAAACCGCAUCCACACCCCCCACAGGCGAGACGUAUGCCGGCACCAUAUGUAUAACCCCUGGCUGUGAUCCGCCAGCCAGGACAGCUUAGAUCAAGCCUAGAGAAGUUGCAUUCGCAUUGCAGCCACACUUGAAGGCUCCAGACUCGUUUCACUAUAAGCGCGGAAACUGGAACUACCGCGGGCUGGCUCCUGCACACCCAAAAGAAAGGAUUUCACAUUUUUGCAAUACUACUUCAUUAGCAUUCCCUGCAAGGCUACUGAAAGCUCGGAUAUAUGUAUUGUUAUAACGAAUGUAUAACUCGAAAUAUGUAUAUCCUCGAGUAUCCUUGCAGAAACCGAUAACACAUUCCUCACAUAAGUUUCCAAUGUUUUCCAGCACAAUGUCAUUUCAUUGAAUUGAUCUUCCUUCAGUCUGCAAGUAUGCCCCAAGCGCACCCCAGAAAUACACAACAUGUCUGCUUAAGAACUCCGUUGAGUUAGAUCAACCGAAACUAUCCUUAGUCACAGUCCCAACUGACCUUUCAACGAUUCCUCAAAUUGACCCUUUUCUACAAUCUGCACGGAAAUAAUGCAAUGUCUAAUAAGUAAUUAUUUUAAUAUAUGUACGUGCAGCUCCGAUAUCCCUAGUUCCAUUUGCGGAGCUCCUUUUUUUGCAAAAUUUGUUGAUCACAAUUAUAGAUCAAUCCCUUGUUCCAUCGGCUCUUCGUUAAUGUAGUCUGCCAGUAUACUAAAACGCCUCAAAGAGAGCCGUUCAUAGAUGUCAAAUGUUUUAUAUAUACAAAUAAGCAAGAAGAUACAUACAUAUAUCCCUAUGCAACUCUUAACUGUAUUUAUCGAACAUUAUUCUAGCCACAAUCAUAUCAUUAGCCGCCACUAGCUAUGCCAAUACAUACAUUGUUUCCUGUUCAGCUUUAAGGCAGCAACAAAGCCGAAAGCAACAAAAAUUAACUCGCUUACCAUGCCAGCUAUGGAUACCUAUAUAGAUAUACAUAUACAUACAUACAUAUAUAGAACAGGACUUGACUUCCUUUCGGGGAAUAUUUGUAUAUUGAGGGCACAACAGAACACGAGGAGGAGGUAGAAGGUAAAAGUAGAAGAAAUUACCAAGCUAAGCUGUAAGAAUAAGAAAAAACUAAAGGCAAGUGAGGGCAAUCUAGGUAGGGAAAUGUAGCAUACGAAUACGAAGGAAAGUAAAGCAGAAAGUAACGGAAGAAAUACCAUGUGUAUGUGUAUGUACUAUAUCUACUAUACCAAUCAAUCAACUACUUGUAUGAUCAGACAGCCAGCACAGACGCAGAUACAUAUAUUUAUUGUAAAGGAAUUUAGCUAGUUAUACUAUAAACAAGUGAACAAAAAUUUGAGUAAAGCGAAUUUUGUCCCAUGUUCGGAUCGGACCGGUUCGGAUGAGUUGGAUGGUAAAAUAGCUUAAGGAAUUGUCAGGGAA
rnacentral:sRNA from 1 species